AAUAACUUUAUGGUUGGUGGAUCUACACCUGCCCAAGCAAGCCCAGUGACACGCACUGCGGCUCAAGAUGCUUCGACCUGCACGCCACAAUGAUCACUCGAGGUAGUUGUCUAUGCUUGUGCAUUAUUCAUACUUGUGUCUUGUCGUUGGUUGUGUCUCUCAAUUCCCAACUUGUGCAUUGCUGAUAGUAGAGCCCAGAGUCUUGAUCCUUGUAUUAUUCAUACUUCUUAGCUUCAAUUUGAAACUUAUAUGUUGAUGCUUGUUGACUCUUGUGCCUUAUCGAUCAUUUGCAAUUUAGCUUUGGAAACUCCUGCGUGUGGUAAUGAACUUAGAGGUUUGCAUCACGAAUGCCGUCGACGGUGGGCAUACUUGCUGUGGUGGACACUCAUUGCAUAUUGUAGGUUGAACUCAUGCUUUUGUGAACUCUUGUUGCAUAUGUAAUGUUGUUGUGAACCCUCCUUGAAUAUGU
rnacentral:lncRNA from 1 species